AAACUGGGACCAAGGUUCCCAGCGAGAGCGUUACGCAUGAACCCCGCAUGAGCAAUAGGGCGCCGAUCAGUCAUCGGGUGCAUUGUCAUCGGGGUCUCGUGUUACACGCAGUUAAACUGGGACCAAGGUUCCCAGCGAGAGCGUUACGCAUGAACCCCGCAUGAGUAUACCUCAGGGAAUCGUGCACGAGGAUGGCCUGAGAGAGCCAGUACACCGAUCAGUGAUCGGUUACUCCCUCAACCCAUUACAUGCAUGACGCCACGAAAGGUAAGCCGCUUACGCGGGGAGCAGUGUUUGGUGAGUGUGCCUAGACCAGCCACACCUGGCACUCUCCUGCGAGCGCGCGAGUUAUCCAGAUAGAAGAAGGGUCUGAGUCAUUCCGCAAGGGAAUAACUUAGAUCCGCAAAGAGAAGCACCAGNNNNNNNNNNNNNNNNNNNNNNNNNNNNNNNNNNNNNNNNNNNNNNNNNNNNNNNNNNNNNNNNNNNNNNNNNNNNNNNNNNNNNNNNNNNNNNNNNNNNACGUUUAGAUGUUUAUGCCAUGCUCAUGUGUUUUUUCUUCUUCUCUGCGUCAUUGCUUUUAAUAGUCUAUGAACAAUGCUCGAUUUCUUUUACUUUUUUUUUCUCUUCCCUCGUAUUUAAUCGGUGAACGUUGGCGAAGUUUAAACAAUGCACCUUGUUUUUUUUUUCUUUCCCCGCUUCACUGCGUUUAAUUUGUAUUCAAUACACCAUUUUUUUGCCCUUUUCCCUUCUCUCUGAAUUAGUUGGUGAACUUUGUCAUGUUCUAAACAACGCACCUUGUUUUUGCCUCCUCCUGCUUCGAUGCGUUUAAUUUAUGAGCCGGUGGUGUGUUUACUUUAUCCAUCAAUGCGUUUAGUUGGGGUUUGGGGAUUGUGGGGGUGGUAGUGAACACCGCUUUGAACUCACAACUCUUUGAACUCACAACUCCUUGAACUCACAACUCCUUGAACUCACAACUCCUUGAACUCACAACUCCUUGAACUCAGGUCAUAUAGUUUUUAUUUCGCUCAAGUUUGUGAAUGUGACUUGUAAUAGUACUAUUUGUUUUGCAUAAGUUUUUAGGAGAAAUUUAUCAAUAUAAGCCAUUUUCUAGUUUAUUAUAAUAAUCAAAUUUAUGAUGUUAAGUUUCAUGUAAUGGGAACUUAAUUAAGCUCUUAAUUAAAUUGUUUGCGUGUAUGAGUUGGGAACUAAGGAUACGUUUUGUUCAUAUUGAAGGAUUGGACAAAACGAAUAGUUAGCACUUUGCCCAAGCAACCAAGUCACAAGGAAAUCUUUUUGUUUUGUCUAUUGUAUCAGGGUCGGUACACUGCACAAGUGGAAUAGGCUAGCACUUGGCACUAACAAAACUGUUGUCUGUUACAAUUAGAUGAUGCACUGCACUCCUAGAAUACGUUAGCACUCACUACCUAAACAUUUUGCUUUCUCUAUUCUGUUGGAUCAAUGCACUGCACAUGUAGAAUAGGUUUACAUUCGGCACAAACAAAACUUUUUGGUUUUGUCUAUUGCAUCGGUUUGAUGCACUACACAUGUAGUAUUGGUUCGUAUUAGUGCAGGCAAAACUUUUUUGUUUUGUCUAUUGUAUCGGGUCGACAGACUCCAUCUGCAGAAUUGGUUUGCAGUUGGCACAAGCAAAAAUUUUGUUUUUGUCUAUUCAUCAGGUUGAUGCACUGCACUUUUACAUUAGGUUUGUACAGGGCACAAUCAAAUUUUUUUGUUUGUUUAUUGUAUAUGGCCAAUGCACUGCACAUGUUGAAUUGGUAGCACUUAUUGUCUUUGUAUUAGGUUGGUGCACUGCACAUGUAGAAUAGUUAGCACUUAGCACCAGGGUUGAUGCGCUGCACAAGCAUUUUGGAGGUGAGCAGGCGUUGAUGGUUAUUCUUUAUCGGUAUUAAUGAGAUCUAGUUGAAGGGUAUAUCUGACUUUGGGUGGUCUUGUGCAUGGAAGUAGAAGUUGCCUGCGUUUAGUUCAACUUUUUUUUUGAAGAAAUAAUAAUUUAUUUUUUGUUAGAGUACUAAUCGAAUAGUUAGGAUAAAGGAGCAAUGAUCCGAUCGGUCAUCGGUGUUCGAUAACGUUAGCAGAAGACGACCGCGUGGACCAAUUGCAGGGUGACACGUGGUCAAGGUGACAGAUAGAUCAGGUGGCGUAGGAACCACGAAGGUGAUCGGUGGUCAGUACCAAGUGACCACCGACAGAUCAAGUGGAGAAACGCGAGAAGCAAUAGAGCACCGAUCAGUCAUCGGGUGCAUUGUCAUCGGGGUCUCGUGUUACACGCAGUUAAACUGGGACCAAGGUUCCCAGCGAGAGCGUUACGCAUGAACCCCGCAUGAGUAUACCUCAGGGAAUCGUGCACGAGGAUGGCCUGAGGGAGCCAGUACACCGAUCAGUGAUCGGUUACUCCCUCAACCCAUUACAUGCAUGACGCCACGAAAGGAAAGCCGCUUACGCGGGGAGCAGUGUUUGGUGAGUGUGCCUAGACCAGCCACACCUGGCACUCUCCUGCGAGCGCGCGAGUUAUCCAGAUAGAAGAAGGGUCUGAGUCAUUCCGCAAGGGAAUAACUUAGAUCCGCAAAGAGAAGCACCAGAGCCCUGCAAAUGGUGACGCGUGUGUGGUUAGAUGUGAGUAGCAUGCCUCCACGUAUCAUGAGAAUGGCGCGGCCCAGACGAAAGUGUAUUCUGCACGCUAAAGGGAACAGUCUCGCGCAGCCUAGCACAGCCAGCGCAGACUCCCGCAGGCGGGCACAGACACCCAAGUCUCACUAACUCUGAGGGUAGGUGGUGAUAGGAAAGCACAACAGGGUUCUGACACACGCCAAAGGCGCAGCAGAGCCCUGUUGAUCACGUCACCAAAGAGAAAGAUAAAAGGGAGUGAGGGUGAGACAAAAAAGGGACUUUUGGUUUUUCCGAGGGACACAGAGUCUGAAAGAGAGGAGGUUACGCAUAGAGACAGAGAGCAUCUUUUCUCAAGAGAGUUAUCACGCUCUCCAGUUGCUUUCUUUUGGUGGUUCUGUGGACUAACUUGAGCGUCGGAGCACAAACGGCCGCUAGAGGCGCCGUCUGUGUGUUUUGCAGGUCACGUUCGGAGCUUGCAGAGGAGGUUCUGAAGGUGCUCGCGUAGAGAACACAGCUGCACAGACGGAUCAGGAGCGCAGCGAGGCCAUUCCAUCACGCUCGAGUUGCCGGCAGUAUCAUUUGGCGCCCACCGUGGGGCCGUGUGAAUCGUGGUCCCAUAUACACCACAGUUUGAAGCUUGCCAGAGUUAGUAGGGGGUCGCGCUUUGGCAAGUAGGAUACUCCGUGCAGGUUACUACUGCCCAAGGCUGAAGGAAGACUGCGUAAGGUUUGCUCAGCGUUGCAGACAGUGCCAACUUCACGCGGACUGGCAUAAGGCGCCCCCCGAGGAGUUGAGAUCCAUCCGUAGCCCGUGGCCAUUCCACACAUGGGGGAUUGACAUCCUGGGACCCUUUCCCUUGGCGAUAAGGCAGAUGAAGUUCCUCAUAGUGGCCAUCGAGUACUUCACCAAGUGGGUGGAGGCAGAACCAAUUGCUCACAUCACCGCACAGAAAGUCCAACACUUCGUCUGGAAAAACAUCGUCUGUCGCUUCGGAGUACCCAAGAGGUUAGUCUCCGACAAUGGCACCCAGUUCACGAGUCAUCAGCUAAGGAAGAGGUGCGAGGAGUUAAAAAUACAGCAAGUUUUCGCCUCAGUAGAACACCCGCAGACAAAUGGGCAGGUAGAGUCAGCCAACCGAGUACUGCUCAGGGGGCUGAAGCGAAGGUUAGACAAGGCUAAAGGGAGCUGGGCUGAGGAGGUUCCCAGAAUCGUAUGGUCUUACCAUACCACCCCACAGUCCAGCACCCACGAGACGCCCUUCAGCCUCGUUUACGGGACAGAUGCCAUGAUCCCUGUGGAAAUACAGGAGAACUCCCCCAGGUUUUUGAAUUUCAUUGCUGAAGAAUCCAAUGAAGAACGAAGGGUGAAUCUCGACCUACUGGAAGAAGUGCGAGAAGAAGCCAGAAUCAGCGCUGAAGCCGUCAAAAGAAGAGUAGAACGAAGGCACAACUCUAAAGUGAGGCUCAGGCGCUUCCAGGAAGGUGAUCUGGUGAUGAGAAAGGCACAUCAGAUUGACAUGCAGAACAAGUUGUCCCCAAAGUGGACAGGCCCGUACAGAGUGGUGGAGACGUUGGAAAACGGAGCCUAUCGCCUAGAGACUUUGGAGGGAGGAGCAAUCCCCCGAACGUGGAACGCUACCCAUUUAAAAUUCUAUUUCAGUUAAAAGUUGUACAGUAAUGGCGUUCUCGCGCUAAGAGGUACAUGCUUUGUAUGUAGUGGAAACAGUUGAACAGACAAGGGGGCACUCUUUUCCCUAAGGAGGGUUUUUGAUGAGGCCACCCAAUUAAAAAGAAAAUUUCCAGCGUAUCAAGUGUGCUCAAGUAUUGACGUCAGAAUCUCCUUUGCCCCAGGUGCAAGUGCAGGUGAUUGAUUAGGCCCUACUUGCCCUAGGCGCAAGUGCUGGCACUAAUCUGAGUCUUCCUCACCCCAGGUGUGAGCGCAAGCAGUUAGAAGUUUGAAACCCCGAGGGGGUUAGUAAGACCAAGUGAGGGAAAGGAAAGAUUUUGACAGCAGUCCUUGCCCACUUGGCAUACACCCAUAUUGGCCCAGUAAGCUCUUAGUUUGAAACCCUUCUCACCCCAGGUGUGAGGUAGGGAAAGAUCGACCAAUCCGCAAAGGUUGAUGACCCUGGGGAAGGUAAGAGGGGUCAGCGAGAAACACUUUUCUUUCCCCAAAACAAGGCAUCACCUCGAAAGAUUGAUGACGAAGUCCUCUAUGCACUUAGCGCUGGAGCCACAGAGAAGCUAAGAAAAGACCGUAGAACGAUGACCGAUCACAGGCGCCCAACCUUGAAGGUACCACGAGCGUUCGUGUCAGACAACCAGGUACUUCAUGUGUACAAAGCGAUGGAAUGUCUAACGAUCGGUCAUCGGUCGUGACUCAAGAAACGCUGAGAGCGCCGAGGGUUAGAGCGCGACCGUCGAAGACCGAUGAGUCGCCAGCAGAGGUGUUAGUGUGUAAGUGCCCUGUUUGCGGAAGCUUUCCCAAACAAGUUCUCACAUAUCAAGUUAGCAAACAGAAUACCCAGUACGAAGCCAUGCACAAGGACUGUUAGAGAUCAAGUUAAGCGAGUUGUUAGUCGUGAUUGAGUUAGAAGCCAAGAUCAGAGGCUUGAGAUCGCGCUAGGCCUAAACUGGCCAACACUUAGCCAUGCGAAAAGGAAAAGACAAGGCUCAAGGUCGCGCUAAGCCUAAGCUGGUUAACAGAUAAUCGUGUGCAAAUAGAAAGAUAGAAGUCAAGAAAACACAAAGAGAAAGUUGUGCAGCUGAAACCAAUGUAUAUUAACAAAGACACUUAAAAGAAGCUUCAGGUACAAUAGUCAAUGGUGCAGAAAUUUAAAGUUACAAAACGAAGGUUACAAAAAAUGGAAAGAGCUCAAGAAGGAGGAGGAAUAAGUUUCCCAUCUUCCACUUCGUGGUGAAUGCUGAACUGCGAGAGGUCCAGGUCCGGGAGAACACAUUGGACCUGCUCGAGUGCAAGCUCGAACCCGUCAGUAAGAGCCUCAGCACCCACACUCAUUAAGGAGGCCCUCUCAGCUUCUGCAGUUUCUUUUGCAGUGGUGAGGGAAGCGAUGGAAGAGGAAGCUUCUUCUAGCUGGCACCUUGCCUCCUCAAGCUCUUUCUCCUUGGAUGCGGCCUUCUCCUCACUAGCCUCGAGCUUCCCCGCCAGUUCUGAGUUCGUUUGCUGAAGGGAGGAAGUCUCGUCUUCCAGGCGGAGAACCUUGCUUUUCAACUCGGCCAUUUCACAGUCCAGCGUGGUAACGGCUUGGCCCAUCAAGAUCUCAGUCUUGAUGGUCUCCUGGACUUGCGCUAGGUACUCUCUCCUAGACUCCUCCACCAUACCCCUCAUCAGNN
rnacentral:lncRNA from 1 species